rnacentral:rRNA from 1 species
GAUGAACGCUGGCGGUGUGUUCUAAUCAUGCAAGUCGAACGCGCAGCGAGAGGUGCUUGCACCUUUCAAGCGAGUGGCGAACGGGUGAGUAACACGUGGAUAACCUGCCUCAAGGCUGGGGAUAACAUUUGGAAACAGAUGCUAAUACCGAAUAAAACUUAGUAUCGCAUGAUAUCAAGUUAAAAGGCGCUACGGCGUCACCUAGAGAUGGAUCCGCGGUGCAUUAGUUAGUUGGUGGGGUAAAGGCUUACCAAGACGAUGAUGCACAGCCGAGUUGAGAGACUGAUCGGCCACAUUGGGACUGAGACACGGCCCAAACUCCUACGGGAGGCUGCAGUAGGGAAUCUUCCACAAUGGGCGCAAGCCUGAUGGAGCAACGCCGCGUGUGUGAUGAAGGCUUUCGGGUCGUAAAGCACUGUUGUAUGGGAAGAAAUGCUAAAAUAGGGAAUGAUUUUAGUUUGACGGUACCAUACCAGAAAGGGACGGCUAAAUACGUGCCAGCAGCCGCGGUAAUACGUAUGUCCCGAGCGUUAUCCGGAUUUAUUGGGCGUAAAGCGAGCGCAGACGGUUGAUUAAGUCUGAUGUGAAAGCCCGGAGCUCAACUCCGGAAUGGCAUGGGAAACUGGUUAACUUGAGUGUUGUAGAGGUAAGUGGAACUCCAUGUGUAGCGGUGGAAUGCGUAGAUAUAUGGAAGAACACCAGUGGCGAAGGCGGCUUACUGGACAACAACUGACGU